rnacentral:rRNA from 1 species
UACGUAGGGUGCAAGCGUUAAUCGGAAUUACUGGGCGUAAAGCGUGCGCAGGCGGUUUUGUAAGUCUGUCGUGAAAUCCCCGGGCUCAACCUGGGAAUUGCGAUGGAGACUGCAAGGCUUGAAUCUGGCAGAGGGGGGUAGAAUUCCACGUGUAGCAGUGAAAUGCGUAGAGAUGUGGAGGAACACCGAUGGCGAAGGCAGCCCCCUGGGUCAAGAUUGACGCUCAUGCACGAAAGCGUGGGGAGCGAACAGG